CCUACGGGAGGCAGCAGUGGGGGAUAUUGCACAAUGGGGGAAACCCUGAUGCAGCGACGCCGCGUGGGUGAAGAAGCGCCUCGGCGCGUAAAGCCCUGUCAGCAGGGAAGAAAAUGACGGUACCUGAAGAAGAAGCCCCGGCUAACUACGUGCCAGCAGCCGCGGUAAUACGUAGGGGGCAAGCGUUAUCCGGAUUUACUGGGUGUAAAGGGGGCGCAGACGGCGAAGCAAGCCAGGAGUGAAAGCCCGGGGCCCAACCCCGGGACUGCUCUUGGAACUGCGUGGCUAGAGUGCAGGAGGGGCAGGCGGAAUGCGUGGUGUAGCGGUGAAAUGCGUAGAUAGCAGGAGGAACACCGGUGGCGAAGGCGGCCUGCUGGACUGCAACUGACGUUGAGGCCCGAAAGCGUGGGGAGCAAACAGGAUUAGAUACCCCGGUAGUC
rnacentral:rRNA from 1 species